AUUGAACGCUGGCGGCAGGCCUAACACAUGCAAGUCGAGCGAGCGGCGGACGGGUGAGUAAUAUAUGGGGACCUGCCCGAUAGAGGGGGAUAACUACUGGAAACGGUGGCUAAUACCGCAUACUAUACGAUGAACCCUUAUGGGGUUGUCUAGUAGGUGGGGUAAAGGCUCACCUAGGCAACGAUCUCGAGCUGGUCUGAGAGGAUGACAGGCCACACUGGAACUGAGAAACGGCCCAGACUCCUACGGGAGGCAGAAGUGGGGAAUAUUGCGCAAUGGGCGCAAGCCUGAUGGAGCCAUGCCGCGUGUAUGAAGAAGGCCUUAGGGUUGUAAAGUACUGUCAGCGGGGAGGCGGUACCCGAAGAAGAAGCACCGGCUAACUCCGUGCCAGCAGCCGCGGUAAUAC
rnacentral:rRNA from 1 species